AGAGAGUGAGGAAACUGUGAAACCUGAACAACAUGGUGGUGGAUUCGGUGACAAUGGAGGAGGAAGAUACCAAGGAGGAGGCGGCCAUGGUGGCCACGGAGGGGGAGGAUACCAAGGAGGAGGAGGACGAUACCAAGGAGGCGGUGGGCGACAAGGAGGAGGGGGAAGUUACUGCCGCCACGGCUGCUGCUACAAAGGUUACCAUGGCUGCUCAAGGUGUUGUUCAUAUGCCGGAGAAGCGGUUCAGACUCAGUCUGGUCACUAAAUCUACAUAAUAUAUCAACCACCAUGAGUGUACGAUUUCAUUUAUAUAUACACUUACGUGUGUAUGUGAUAUGACAAUACACUUACGUUUGUAAUGAAGUGCCUUAAGUUUAAGAGGAGAAACUAUCGGAAUAAAGUUUCAUAAUGUAAUGCCUUUGUGUUUAUUUAAGUUGUUAUUUGCGAUGUUUGCAUAAUAAAGUUGUUUCUAGUUGAAGUUAUUCUCUUUUGGUUUUAUGUGACCCUAUUAAUUCUUUUUUAGUACUGGCCUAAGGAAAGAUAAAAGAUGUACAAAAAAGAAGAAGAUUUAAACAGGCUGGGCAAGGAAAAUGCUUUUUCUUAAAAGAAAAGAUUACUAGAUAGUUAGAGACUCUAUCGAAUUUUGACAUGCACAAUAGUUACAAAGUUCACUAAAUAUAAAGUACGUAGUAUUAUAAAGAAUCUCUUACAAGAUCUAUAGCGCUCAAAGCUAGAAGUGUCAAUUGGGUUGUCCAAAGCCCAAUGGUCAUGUCCAAUUGGACCAUUAGUUUUAAUGGGUUUUAAUGGAUGGUCCUUAUUGGACAAUGGUCUGAAAAUUUGUCCAAGACCAUUAAGGACCAUGUCCAAUGGUCAGCCCAUGGUCAGCCCAUAACUUAAUGUUGCUUGAAUACAAUGCAUUUUCAUAAGAAAAGAUAAGAACUUAGCUUCCUCUUACAAAUAUGAUUAGAUGGUACUUAAAACUGUAAAAAAUAAGUCAUAAAGUGACAAACUUGAGGAGAUACAUAGAAAAUAAGUUCAUCAAAAGAGUUAAGCUUAGAUUUGGGAAUUAAAAAAUGUCUGAAUAUUAUUUGCUAAUCAACAGAUUCAUAUUCUAGUAGAACUAACCGGAGUAGGAGUUGAGAGAGAGGUCGAAGCGAGAAAGAGAGAGAGGGAGCUUCGUCGCCGAGGGAGAGAGAAGAGAAGAGAAGAAAAUUGAUGUGUUGAGAAACUUGAUGGGCCAACCAUAGACCGUGUGGGCUAGCCCAUUAAACCCGUGGACAUAAUUGGUCUUUAGACCAUUUAACCCGUUUUCUUUACGGGCCGACCAUGGACUGUCCAUAAUGUUGUGGACUGGGCUUAGCCCAUGGUCAGAUGACCAUUUGACGGUUCUACUCAAAGGUAUAGAAACUCAUUGUGUAGGGUUUUGCUUUUAGAUAUUCUUUGGAGGUUUAGAGAGUUUCACCGCCUUUUGUCUCUUGGCAUUUAAUGCCUCCCAACAACAACUACGUACAAGUCUCAAGUACUGGUCCUAUUAUAUUGUUGUUAAUAAAACAUACUUUCUUUUACAUGCUGAAAGAACAUUAUCUUCGCACCAAACCUCGAAAGAUAUUUCACCUAAUGCGAUGCAUUUUAUAAUUCUCAGGGACAAAAGUACUAUGUAUAGUAUAUUAGUAUGUCUCUCUAAAAACGAAGGACAUUUGGGGUUAAAAGGCUUUUCACUAUUACGAAAUAAAACAUUGUAUCUCCAGUUAUAGUCUUAGAUCAUCUCCAAUGUUCACCUCUAUUUAUUUUUUUCUUUAUUUUAGAGACAACUCUAUUUUUUAAUAAAAUAUAGUUGAUUUUGUUCUAAUAUAUACCCCUCUAAAAUAGAUAUUGAAUAUAUUAUCAAGGAUGUCAGCAAAAUGUCAUAUUGGUUUAUUUUUAUUCGUAGAUGUGAUAUACCUUGAUUUUUACUGAUUAUAUCUAUGAUCUAGAUAUAUGUUUUUAGAGUCUUUUUUUUGUUUUAACGUCUUUUAAAAAUAAUUGAGAAAUCAAAUAUUCUUCCCUAAGUUGUUUAUUAGUUUAGACUUAAAAUCAAUUUUAUUAACCCUACGGGAUAUGACUAUAUGAGUCACCGAAGCGUUUUGCAUUUCUCUAGAGCUUUCUCUAGUCUUCCUAAUCCAAACUUGGAAGCCUUUAAAGUUGUAGCUUAACUUUUUCAGUUCAUUCCUGUCUCUUUCUUUCCACCUCACUCAGAGAGGUAAAUACUUAAAACUUAACAAAAUAUUUUUAAUCGUUCUACUUUUUUAUUUUCUUGACUGUGUUCAGUUUCUCAAACAUGGUAACCUACAAUAAAUAAAGCUGUUAACAAUAAUGUUCUAUAUUGGAAUUUUGUUUUUUUGCUCGUCUCUCGAGAUUGUUCUUUGAGUUUUCGAUUGACAAAUCUUGUGUGUAGAUUGGGAUCAAUGGUGACAAAAGGUUUAUAUUGAACCAUAUAGUCGUUGUGUUCCAUUUUUAGGUUAAAUAAAUGGUUUUAAAUUGUUACUGACUAGGGUCUUUUGACGAAAAUAAAAAAAUAAAAAAAAAAUGACUAGGGUCACUUUUGACAAAAUUGUUUCGGGAAAAUCAAAUGUUAUUCCCUAAAAAGUCAAGUGUUAUUAACCCUAUGAGAUAUGAGGAGCCGAAACGUUUUGCAUUCCCCUAGUCCUCCUAAUCCAAACUUGGAUGCCUAAAGGGGAGUUUGUUGGGAUAAGCAUGAAGUCAAUAAAUUAGGGAAUAAAAGUUAUGUUUUAAAAUAGGAUUAAGAUAAAUCUUUAGGAGUAAUCUAAAGAUAUGUUAGGAGUUAUCUACAUCUUAUUCUAUUGUGUUUGUUAUCAUCCCUCUCCUAUAUAAGAGUUGCCAAAGUUGUGGUAAACCUUAAGAGAUUUGAGAGAGAGAUUGAAAGCUUUGUUUUGAGUUAUUUUCAAAGCUAAUAAAAGGAGUGCUUUUAUAUUUGAUCUAAGUAUUCAAAUCUUUAUUUGGUAUCAGAGCAUAACCUAGGUUUCAAUUUUUCUUUUUCGAAUAUGAGUGAAAUUGUUGCUGCAAGCAACAAACCUAAAGAAGGGGGGGGGGGGGUCAUCAUCCAUUCAUUGUCCCAUGCUGAACAACGCUAAUUACACGGUGUGGACUAUGAGGAUGGAGGCUACUCUCCGAGUGCAUAAAGUUUGGGAAACAAUCGAUCCUGGAUCAGAUGACAUGGAGAAGAAUGAUAUGGCUCGAGCUCUUUUAUUUCAAUCCGUACCCGAAUCAACUAUCUUACAAGUCGGAAAACACAAGACCUCUAAAGCCAUGUGGGAAGCCAUCAAGACAAGGAACCUCGGUGCUGAAAGGGUAAAAGAAGCAAAGCUACAAACUCUUAUGGCAGAGUUUGAUAGACUAAAUAUGAAAGAUAAUGAGACAAUCGAUGAGUUUGUAGGGAGAAUAUCUGAGAUUUCUACGAAAUCAGAAUCUCUUGGAGAAGAAAUAGAAGAGUCAAAGAUUGUGAAAAAAUUUCUGAAAAGCUUGCCACGAAAGAAGUAUAUACAUAUCAUUGCAGCAUUAGAGCAGAUUCUCGAUCUCAACACAACCGGAUUUGAAGAUAUAGUAGGAAGGAUGAAAACAUAUGAAGAUCGGGUUUGUGAUGAGGAUGAUUCACCGGAGGAACAGGGUAAACUCAUGUAUGCAAAUUCAGAAUCAUCUUAUGAUACAAGAGGAGGAAGAGGUAGAGGUCGAGGUCGUUCUUCUGGCAGAGGACGUGGAGGAUAUGGUUAUCAACAAAGGGACAAGAGUAAAGUCAUCUGUUAUAGAUGUGAUAAAACAGGACAUUAUGCAUCUGAAUGUCUAGAUCGUUUGCUCAAACUUAUUAAAGCGCAAGAACAACAACAAAACAAUGAAGAUGAUGAUGAAAUUGAGUCGCUUAUGAUGCAUGAGGUGGUUUAUUUGAAUGAGAGAAGCGUGAAGCCAAAGGAGUUUGAAGCUUGCUCAGAUAAUAGCUGGUAUUUGGAUAAUGGUGCGAGUAACCAUAUGACAGGUAAUCUUCAGUGGUUCUCCAAGUUGAAUGAGAUGAUCACAGGAAAGGUGAGAUUCGGUGAUGAUUCUCGUAUUGACAUAAAAGGGAAAGGUUCAAUUGUGCUCAUCACCAAAGGAGGAAUACGCAAGACAUUGACUGAUGUCUACUUUAUACCGGAUCUAAAAAGCAAUAUCAUUAGUUUGGGACAAGCCACUGAAGCAGGCUGUGAUGUUAGAAUGAAGGAUGAUCAAUUAACGUUGCAUGAUCGUGAAGGGUGUCUGUUACUAAGAGCAACACGCUCCAGAAACAGACUUUACAAAGUCGAUUUAAAUGUUGAAAACGUGAAGUGCUUACAACUCGAAGCAGCAAGUGAGUCAACUAAAUGGCACGCACGUCUUGGACAUUAACUUUGACACAAUCCAAGCUAUGGUAAGAAAGGAAUUGGUUAUCGGAAUCUCUAAUAUUCCAAAGGAGAAAGAGACGUGUGGUUCAUGCCUCCUUGGAAAACAAGCAAGGCAGCCAUUCCCUAAAGCAACUACUUAUCGAGCAUCACAAGUAUUGGAACUUGUUCAUGGUGAUCUUUGUGGUCCGAUAACACAAUCUACAACUGCUAAGAAAAGAUACAUACUCGUGCUGAUCGAUGAUCACACUCGUUACAUGUGGUCUAUGCUAUUGAAGGAGAAGAGUGAGGCAUUUGAAAAAUUCAGAGAUUUCAAGACUAAAGUUGAACAAGAAAGUGGAGUUAAGAUCAAAACCUUCAGAACAGAUAAAGGAGGAGAGUUUGUCUCUCAAGAAUUUCAAGAUUUCUGUGCAAAAGAAGGCAUCAACAGACACUUAACCGCUCCAUACACACCACAGCAGAAUGGAGUUGUUGAAAGGAGAAAUAGAACGUUGCUAGGUAUGACAAGAAGCAUCUUGAAGCACAUGAAAAUGCCUAACUAUUUGUGGGGAGAAGCAGUAAGGCACUCAACCUAUAUCAUCAACAGAGUAGGAACAAGAUCUUUGCAGAACCAAACACCAUAUGAAGUUUUUAAGCAAAGAAAGCCGAAUGUAGAACACUUACGUGUAUUUGGAUGUAUUGGUUAUGCCAAGAUUGAAGGUCCACAUUUGAGAAAGCUUGAUGAUAGGUCAAAGAUGCUUGUUUAUCUUGGAACUGAACCAGGCUCCAAAGCAUAUCGUCUUCUUGAUCCAACUAACCGCAAAAUUAUCGUAAGCAGAGAUGUGUACUUUGAUGAAAACAUGAGCUAGAAGUGGAACAAUUCAGAUUCUGAAACUCGGGACAUCUCUGGAACAUUCUCACUUACCUUAGGAGAAUUUGGAAACAAUGGAAUUCAAGAAAGUGAUGAUAUAGAAACAGAAAAAAACGGAGAAGAAAGUGAGAACAGUCACGAAGAAGAAGGAGAAAACGAACACAAUGAACAAGAACAGAUUGAUGCUGAAGAAACACAACCCUCACAUGCUACUCCUCUGCCAACAUUAAGAAGAUCAACAAGACAAGUUGGAAAACCAAAUUAUUUGGACGAUUAUGUCUUAAUGGCAGAGAUCGAAGGCGAACAAGUUCUAUUGGCAAUUAAUGAUGAACCAUGGGAUUUUAAAGAAGCAAACAAGUUGAAAGAAUGGAGAGAUGCUUGCAAAGAAGAGAUCCUGUCAAUAGAGAAGAACAAAACUUGGAGCUUAAUUGAUCUUCCAGUUAGAAGAAAAGUCAUAGGGUUAAAAUGGGUUUUUAAGAUCAAGCGAAAUUCAGAUGGCAGCAUAAACAAGUACAAGGCAAGGUUAGUAGCAAAGGGUUAUGUUCAGAGGCAUGGUAUUGACUACGAUGAAGUAUUUGCUCAUGUAGCUCGUAUUGAAACAAUUCGAGUCAUCAUUGCCUUAGCAGCAUCAAACGGAUGGGAAGUACAUCACUUAGACGUCAAGACCGCUUUUCUCCAUGGGGAACUAAGAGAAGAUGUUUAUGUUACACAACCUGAGGGCUUCACAAAUAAAGACAAUGAAGGGAAAGUCUACAAAUUACACAAGGCUCUUUAUGGUUUAAAACAAGCACCUCGUGCUUGGAACACUAAGCUGAACAAAAUUCUUCAAGAACUGAAUUUUGUAAAGUGUUCUAAAGAACCAUCAGUGUACAGAAGACAAGAAGAAAAGAAGCUUCUCAUUGUGGCUAUUUAUGUUGAUGAUUUACUUGUGACAGGCUCUAGCUUGGAUCUAAUACUCUGUUUCAAGAAAGAUAUGGCUGGAAAAUUCGAAAUGAGUGAUCUGGGACAGCUCACGUACUACCUUGGCAUUGAAGUUCUCCAUAGAAAGAAUGGCAUCAUAUUAAGACAAGAGAGGUAUGCAAUGAAAAUUAUAGAAGAAGCUGGAAUGAGUAACUGCAACCCGGUCUUAAUACCAAUGGCAGCAGGAUUAGAGCUCUGCAAAGCACAAGAAGAGAAGUGCAUCACCGAAAGAGACUACAGAAGAAUGAUUGGAUGUCUGAGAUACAUAGUGCAUACUCGGCCGGAUCUCUCUUAUUGCGUUGGUGUACUAAGCAGGUAUCUACAACAACCGAGGGAAUCACAUGGAAACGCACUGAAGCAAGUUCUAAGGUAUCUCAAAGGAACUAUGUCUCAUGGUCUGUACCUCAAGAGAGGAUUCAAGAGCGGAUUAGUAGGCUAUAGUGAUAGUAGUCAUAGUGCGGAUUUGGAUGAUGGAAAAAGCACUGCCGGUCAUAUCUUCUAUCUUCAUCAAUGUCCCAUUACAUGGUGUUCACAAAAACAACAAGUAGUGGCUCUUUCAUCUUGUGAAGCGGAGUUCAUGGCAGCUACUGAAGCAGCCAAGCAAGCCAUAUGGUUACAAGACCUAUUCGCAGAAGUGUGUGGGACAACAAGUGAGAAGGUGAUGAUUCGAGUGGAUAACAAGUCGGCGAUUGCUCUUACUAAGAAUCUUGUCUUUCAUGGUAGGAGUAAACAUAUUCAUCGAAGGUAUCAUUUCAUAAGAGAAUGUGUUGAGAAUAACUUAGUCGAAGUGGAUCAUGUUCCCGGAGUUGAGCAAAGAGCUGACAUUCUAACCAAGCCACUUGGAAGGAUUAAGUUCAGAGAGAUGAGAGAACUAGUAGGAGUUCAGUGUGUGUUGGAAGAUGACUUCAAGCUUAAAGGGGAGUUUGUUGGGAUAAGCAUGAAGUCAAUAAAUUAGGGAAUAAAAGUUAUGUUUUAAAAUAGGAUUAAGAUAAAUCUUUAGGAGUAAUCUAAAGAUAUGUUAGGAGUUAUCUACAUCUUAUUCUAUUGUGUUUGUUAUCAUCCCUCUCCUAUAUAAGAGUUGCCAAAGUUGUGGUAAACCUUAAGAGAUUUGAGAGAGAGAUUGAAAGCUUUGUUUUGAGUUAUUUUCAAAGCUAAUAAAAGGAGUGCUUUUAUAUUUGAUCUAAGUAUUCAAAUCUUUAAAGUUGUGGCUAAACUUCAGUUUGUGUUUGCUUUUGUUUAUCAAGAUUGUUCUUAGACUUUUUCGAGUUAAAAAACUUGUGUGUUGGAGUCAUCAUCGUGAUCAAUGGAAAAUAAAGUUGAGAAGGAGAUUACUUGGGUGAUUAAAAAUUUCUCUUCUCUGCAAUCUGCAACAAUAUAUUCUGAUAUAUUCGUUGUUGGUGGCUGCAGAUGGUAAGAAGAUAAAUUGUUUUCUAAUAUUUUUCGUCUAAUCUACGGUUUACAGAUAAUAUUCUUUGAUUGCUUUCUUUUGUUUUUGCUUGCAGGCGUUGUCAGGCCUUCCCCAAGGGAUAUAAUAAGGCUGAUUAUCUUUCUCUGUAUCUCGACGUUCCUGAUAAAGAAUCUUUACCUAUUGGAUGAAGAAGCCACACAAAAUUUUCUUUUACUUUAGUAAAUAAAAUUUCGGAAAAACUCUCCAAACUUAAAGGUUAUUGGUCUCUAUGCUUGCUAAGAGUAUACCUCAUGUCAUAUUUUCUGGUUUUGUUCAGAGAUAAAAUAUGUUUUGUGAUUCUGCAGAGACUCAGCAGUGGUUUGAUAAGAAUGCUCCUGACUGGGGGUUUACAGAAAUGAUCAGCCUCACUGAACUUCAUGCGGAAGAGGGACUUCUGAGGAACGGAGAACUCACCGUUGUUGCCAAGGUAGAGGUUCUUGAAGUUGUAGGAAAAUUAGAUGUAUCAGAGGAAUCUUCACCAGUAAUUGAAACCAUAGAUGUCAAUGGAUUUCAAGUUCUUCCUUCACAGGUAAAAAAAAAUAUAUUUAAGGAAAACACUUUUUUAUUGUUUUACAUUUUGCGUUUUGAAACAAGAAUAAGAAAACAAAAUCAUAAUUUAAGAGUUUCUCAUUUUUUGCUCAGUUUCUUUAUAUAUGUACAAGAUUUAAUUAUGCAAUGGUUUAAUUUUUAUGUCUCCUUUCCACUGGCAGGUAGAAUAUGCGAAGUCUUUAUUUGAAAGACAUCUAGAUAUUGCAUCAAAAUUCCGUCCAAAGAAUCCAUACCUAAAGACGGCGUACAUGAAUGUCCUCUUGAGUUUAACCCAAACGAUAUGUCAAUCUCCUCAAGAACUCUCCAAUGAUGAUCUCUCUGAUGCAGGCGCUGCAUUGGCAUAUUUGAGAGAAGCAGGGUUUGAGUUGGAUUGGUUGGAGAAGAAACUUAAUGAAGUAAAGGAAAAGAAAAAGAAAGAAGAGGCUUGUUUGGCCGAGAUACAAGACAUGGACGAACAUGUUAAGCCAUUGAAGAAGAAGUACUUAGACCUGGAAGCUCAGAUAGAUAAGAAGAAGGCAGAGUUGCUAGCUGCAAGAGCUCCUCUCUCCUUGAACGAUGACAAUGUUGUCUGAUUAUUUUUGAGUUCUUGGGCACUUGGAUUUAUGUUUUGCUUGUGUUUUAAUGUUUUAUCUCUCGUGAUGUGACAAUGUCUUGAUUUAGGAUUUUUCUAUAAUAUUGCGGUGCAGAACUAUCAUUACUCUCCUUCUCCUUUAAUAAAUUGUGGAUUAGUGAAAAAUUGUUAUAGAGAAUGAAAAAAGAAUGAAACGUUAUGUUUGAUGUUUCAAUAUUAUGUCAUAUAAAUAUUUUUAGGUUUUCUAUGUAAUAUUAAUUGAUUAUUAUUGAUUAAUAUCAGACUUCAAGAUAAAUAAUUAAAUAUCAUUGGUUUAAAAUUAUAAAAAAAAUGUAAAGUACAAAAAGUAAUCAAUUUAUAAUCAAUUUAUAAUAUGUUUUCUUAAUAUAUGUGUUUUUCUAGAAAAUCAAGUAUUAAGGAACAGAGGGAAUAUUAUAUAAUGAUUAGGGUCAUUUUUAUUAUUUUGUGAAGGUCAUUGUCUUAAAAAUAAUUUAGGGAAAGUCCAAUGCUUUUCUUGCAAAUUUUCUUAUAGACUUUUAUGUCAAAUCUUAUUAACCCUAGUCUUCCUAUUCCUAAUCUAAACUUGAAAGCUUAAAAGUUGUGGCUGCACUGUUUCAGUACUUCGUCCCUGUCUGUCUUUCGACCAAAACUCUGAGAAGUAAAUACUAAAAUAAUUUUUAAUCGUUCUACAAGUUUUUUUUUCCUUGACUAUGUUUAGUUUCUCAGACGUAGUAACGUGUAAAGAGAGAAAUAAAUUCUGUGUUCCAUAGCGAAAUAUUAAUCUUUGUUUUUGUUUUGUUUCUCGAGAUUGUUCUUUAACUUUUCGAUGUACAAAAUUUGUGUGUAGGAGUCAUCAUUGAGAUCAAUGGAGACAACAGUUGAUACGACGAUUACUUGGGUGAUUAAAAAUUUCUCUUCUUUGCAAUCUGCACCAAUUUAUUCCGACAUAUUCGUUGUUGGUGGCUGCAAGUGGCAAGUAGAUAGACUGUUUUUAUUUGUUUUAACCAACGGGUUGUUGGCCCAGUAGUAAAUCUCCGAGUUUAAGGUGCUGAGUUUCAGACACGUUGGAAUAGAUCUCUUCUUCAAAAAAGAUGAAUUUAACCUACAGGAUAAUCUUUUAUGAUUGUUUUUUUUUUGUUUGCAGGCGUAUUAUGGCCUACCCCAAGGGAAUUAACAAAGCUCAUGAUAGUUUUUCUCUGUUUCUAAACGUUCCUGAUAACGAAUCUUUACCUACUGGAUGGCGAAGACACGCUAAAGUUUCUUUUAGUUUAGUAAAUCAAGGUUCAGAAAAACUCUCUCAACGAAAAGGUUAUUAUUUUCUAUACUUGCUAGCUACUUUAUGGUUCAUGUUAGUUUUAUGUUUCUGUGUCAAUUUGUAAACAUUGAUAUUAACAAUAUGUUUUGUGAUUUUGCAGUGACUCAGCACUGGUUUGUUCAAAAGGCUUUUACCUGGGGGUUUCCAGUAAUGAUUACCCACACCGAACUUAACGCCAAAAUGGGAUUUCUGGUAAAUGGAGAACUCAAAGUUGUUGCUAAGAUAGAGGUUCUUGAAGUUGUAGGGAAAUUAGAUGUAUCAAAGGAAUCUUCACCAAUAAUGAAAACCAUAGAUGUCAAUGGGUUUCAAGUUCUUCCUUCACAGGUAAGAAACUAAGGAAACAUACAACAGUUUUUGUUGGUUUGUAGAAAAUUCAACCACAAGAUGUGAUAUACAGUUUUGAACAACUUGAUAGUUUCUCAUUGUGUUAUUCAGUUUCUUUAUAUAUUGUGGUUUUACUUUAUAUAUCGUUUUCACACGCAGGUAGAUUCUGUGAAGCGUUUGUUUGAAAAAAACCUAGAUAUUGUAUCAAAAUUUCGUCUUAAAAAUCCAUAUUUGAAGACUGCGUGCAUGAAUCUCCUCCUGAGUUUAACCGAAACGCUGUGUCAAUCGCCUCAAGAACUCUCCAAUGAUGGUCUCUCUGAUGCAGGUGUUGCACUGGCAUAUUUGAUAGAAACAGGGCUUAAGUUGGAUUGGUUGGAGAAGAAACUUGAUGAAUUAAAGGAAAAGAAGAAGAAAGAAGAGUCUUGUUUGGUCCGGCUGAGAGAAAUGGACGAACAGCUUCAGCCAUUUAAGAAGAGGUGCUUAGACAUUGAAGAUCAGAUAAGUAAGGAGAAAGAAGAGUUGUUAGCAGCUAGAGAACCUCUCUCUUUGUACGAUGACAUUGACAAUAAUGUCUGAUGACUUGAGAGUUCUUGGGCACUUAGAUUUAGGUUUUGGUAUGUGUUCUUUGCUUGCUUUUUGAUGUUUUAUCUCUCUUUUGAUGUGGAAACGUUUUGAUAUAGGAUGUUUCUAUAUUUUUUCUUUAAAAUUUUGGUGCUGACCUAUCAACACAUUCUUCUCCUUUGAUAAAUUGAGGAUUAAUGAAAAACACUUGUUGAGAGUGAAGAAACAAUGAAACGUUAUGUUUCAAUAUUAGGUCAAAUAAACGUCCUUCAAUAACGACUAGGUUAUGGGUCAUUUUUGUUAUUUUGGGAAUGCCAAUGUUUUAAAAAUAAUUUAGGAAAAGUCAAAUACUUUUCUUGCAAAAUUUCGUUGAGACUUACUCUAGGUCAAAUCUUACUCUAUAUACUAAAAGGUUAUUGUUAUCUAUAUAUGCUUUACUCACGACAAGAAUUCUACAUCAUGAAUGGUAGGAUUUUUUGUAGGAAAUAAGCGUUUCAUACCAAUUUUUUACGAAAAAUAUUAGUAUGGAAUGUCCUGUAUUAAACAGUUUUUGGUAAACAAUUCGUAAAGAAUGUUCUACGAAAUAAUUCUCGUAGAAACCACAUAGGAAAUCUCGUAGGAAAGUGGUAAGACCCCAUUAUCAUUUACUUAUCAAUAUUUCUCUCCAAUUUUCUACCAUUUUGUUUUACCAAUUUUCUAAAAAAGAUUGAUUAUAACAAAUACUACAAUGAACAAAGGGCUGACAUUUUACUAAUGUGAGGCAUUUUACUAAUGCGAGACACUAUUGUUAUUCAUUACAUGUUUAUAAAGGAUUAGAGUACGUGAGUAGAGUUGGGAUCCAACGAGAAGAAGUAAAAUGCCUCACAUUAGUAAAAUACCGCACAUUAGUUAAUAAUUCUCGUAGAAAAUCUCGUAGGAAAGUGGUGGGAUCCCCUUACCAUUUAUUUACCAAUAUUUCUCUUCAAUUUUCUACCAUUUUUUUUUUUACCAAUUUCCUACGAAUUCUAACUCGUUAUGAAAUAUCAUUCUUUCUAUUCUCCUACCAAAUAUUCUGAAAUUUUUAUAUAUUUACCAAAUAUCAUUUUUGCCAAAUUAUUUUAGUUGAAGCUUAGAUUUAUUCCUAAUCUAAGCUUGGACGCCUUUAAAGUUGUGGCUUAAUUCUUUCAGUAUAUCGUCCCUGUCUCUUUCUUUCGACCUCACUGAGGUAAAGUUGUGGCUUAAUUGAUUCUUUACAUCGUUCAACUUUUUUUAUUUCCUUGACUAUGUUCAGUUUCUCAAACGUGGUACAUGGUCAUUAAUUUGUAAAGAAAAUACGGUUUAGAAUGAUGUUCCAUAGUGGAAUCUUAAUCUUUAUUUGGUUUUGUUUAUUAAUUAACGAAUUUAUUUUGGUAACUUGUAAUGAAAACAUUGUAUGUAGAAGUCAUAAUUGAGGUCAAUUAAUGGAGACAAAAGUUGAUACGACGAUUACGUGGGUGAUAAGAGAUUCGUUUUCUUUGCAAGCCGCAUCGAUUUAUUCAGAUAAAUUCGUCGUAGAUGGCUGCAAAUGGGUAAGAACAUAAAUUAGGAUAUAAUAAGGCUAAUAGUUGGUCUCUGUUUCUACUUGUUCCGGAUAUUGAAUCUUUGUCUAUUGGAUUGUCUAUUGGAUGGAGAAGACACGCUAAAUUUUCUCUAACUUUAGUAAAACAAUUUUUUCUGAAUAACUCUCUAUACUACAAGGUUAUUGUUAUCUAUAUGUUAUCUAUAUAUGCUUUACUCACGACAAGAAUCCUACAGCAUAAAUGGUAGGAUUUUCAUAGGAAAUAAGCGUUUCCUACCAAUUUUCUACGAAAGAUGUUAGUAGGAAAUGUCCCGUAUUAAACAUUUUUUUGUAGGAAAUUCGAUAAGGAAUGUCCUACGAAAUAAUUCUCGUAGAAACCACGUAGGAAAUUUCGUAGGUAAGUGGUAAGACCCCCUUACCAUUUACCUACCAAUAUUUCUCUCCAAUUUCCUACCAUUUUUUUUUUUACCACUUUCCUACUAAUUCUAACUUGUUACGAAAUAUCAUUCUUUCUAUUCUCCUACCAAAUAUUCUGAAUUUUUUUUUAGUUUUAUUGCAAUAAAUAAUUUAUAUCUAUAAGAACACUUACUGAAACCUGUUAUAUCUCACAAAUUAUUCUUACAAAGCAAACAAAGUUACAAAUCCUUAUUCAUGAAUUCGUUUUACAAGCCACAUAAAAAGUAGAGAUUGAAAGCGAUUUACUCUUGAGUCUCGUCGUCGUCAUCAUCGCCAUCUACACUUGUGUUCCUAUUGUUCGUAGUCUCUUUCUUAAUUGUCGGAUAAUCCGGUGGUUGAAUUUAUGAAAAAUGUUGAAGAAAAAGCUUGUUGCAUUCCAUAAGAUAUUUUAUUUGAAGGUCCUUCUCAAGUUCACGCUUCUUGAUUGUUUGAAGCUCUUGAAGUAAUGCAAUCGUUUGGCCUGGAGCUGUGAAAGAUGAGAAGGAUCCGCCAGCAAACAAUCUACCAAACCCAUAGCGUCUUACUUUGACUAUGGGAACUUCCUGAAAAUGUAAAGCAAAGCAUAGUUAGUAUUGAAGCAUCUAGUUUAAAAACAACUUGACUGAAGUGAAAUUAUAACUACUUGUCAAAAUUUUGAAAUAAAUAUUAUUUCAUCUACUAAAACGAAAUAUGUUUUUUUCCUACUUAAUUAUCCUCCACCUACUUGUCAAAAUUUUGUUUCACAUUUUUAAAAAAUCUCUACGAUUUUCCUACAAACAUUUUGGUAGGAAAGGCUCUUACUUUUUUCCUUACGGCUCUAACAAAAAUAUUUUCGUGGGAAACUAGGAGGAACAGUUCAUCGCUUAUCCUACGAAUCUCCUUUAAAAAUAUUAUCGUAGGAAAUUGGAAGGUAAUGCUUCCGACCACUUUCCUACGACUAUAUUUCCUUUGGUUUUCCUGCCAUUUUCCUAUGAGAUUUCCUACGAUAUCAUAUGUCGUAAGAAAAUCGAUAGAAAAUUCCUUCGAAAACCUGACGAAUAUUUUUGACGAGAAAUUCCUUCGAAUUGUUUACGAAAUAUAUAUUUUGUAGGAAAUUGGAAGCAUUUUGGUAAGUGUUUUUUCCUUCAAAAUUUUGGUAAUUUUGGUAGGAAAUUUGGUCGGAAAAUACUAUGUUUUCUUGUUAAUAAGUAAGGAGAUCUCCCGACGGACUUCCUAAUUCGUUAAAAAAAGUUUUCCUUUCACAUAAAGAAAAAUUAUGAAAAGAAUGGAAAAUUAUAAGAUUCAAACUCUGAAAAAUUGGAAGUAUAGUUUAUCUUUUAACCGCCUGAAUAUUGUAUAAAUAGAAGAGUUUGUCCUCUAUUCAAGGAUCCACAAUUUAAUAUAAGAAACCUAAUUUUCUACAUUGUUCUUGAUCAGAACCCUAACUUUGUCUCAAAGCAAUCUUAUUAUUCAUUGCAAUUGAGCCCUUGAUUAAUCUAUUAACAAAAGAGUUGAUUUAAUUUAUUUUCCCUUUAAUCAAUUUCAUUGUGUGAUUUCUUGAAUCAACACCUACAAGCAUUUCUAAGUAUAUAGACUAAGAAUUUGAUACUCUGGUCGAUAAAGGAUGAAGCAUGUGAAGGUUUAUGUGAAAAAGAAGCUUGUACAGUCUACUCCAAAAAUUCGUUUUAUGGUCUUUCCCUGAAAAAAUUGAUGAAUAAGGCGAAAUUAACACUAAAUUAGGUUGUCAUUGUCAGGACAUGAAAAAUCACAAACUUUUAUGCAGCUCACAUGAAAAGUCACAAACUUCUAGGCAGCUGCAAGAUCGGGAACAAGAAAAAUAAUCGUAUAUUGUAGAAUAGGGUUUUUAAUUAUGUAAAGACCGUAAAUCGCUGCCAUCAUUUUUGGUAAAUCUUCAAAGAUCCAACCCAAAAAAUAGCAAGACGGUGAAGAUAGAACAAAUGGACUAAACGAUACUCCCUUUAUUCAUAGUUUGAUGUUUCGCAAAGACUGAUAUUUUGUAAUAAUAUCAUUAUUAUUUUUAUUUAUGACCAAUAGAAAGAGAAAAAAGUGAGAUUAAUAUUAUUAAACUAGUAAUAAAUAAAUAAAUAAAUAGAAAAGUUAUUUAUUUUUUAGUUUGUGUGUAAAAUUUAAAUCAUUUUUUUAGAAAUAGAAAGAACAUAUUUUAAUAAUAAAAAAAAAAAUCGUGCUUUUUAGUUUUAGGGCCUUUUGCUAGUGCUAUUUCCAUACUUAACUUUUCGGUCACCGACUUCUCCAAUUUUUGUUCAAUAGACUAGAGAGAUACUAGAAGCCCCCUUGGCCCAAUGGUUGACCCAGGGUUCAUUAAUGCUUCUACACCAAGAGGUAUAGGGUUCGAGUCCCAGCUAAUUCAAUUUAUUAGCAGAUUUGUAGAUUAAUGGAGGCAAGUGUGCAGAAGAUCUACAAUGAUGUACAAUUAUGGCCGUUCGCCAGGAUUCUACGCAGAGAAGAUAUUGAAAGUUUCCAUCAAGCGCGUAGAAAAUAAGAAGGAAGUGUCGUCUGUCGUGGAUCUAAUAAGGGUUGAAAGGAAUUGUCCGUGAUAAAAUCGUUUAUAUAACAGUUCUCAUAAUUUGUAAUAAAUAAUAAAUCUAAGAUGGUAAAAAGAAAAAGACUAGAGAGAUAAAGGAGAAUGGAAAACAACAGAAAUGUGUUGAAGAUAUAAUACUUGCUCGGCAAGUAAAGUAGAAAAUAAACAUUUUUUCAGUUUGAAACUAUAAAAGUAUCCUAAUGCAAUAGUGACUAGUCAAUAGAAUAACAUGCCGUUGUAAAAGUGAUAUUUUUUUUUAAUAUAAUUUAACAUUAGAUUUUAAAAAAGAGAAAUAGAUCAUCGUUUUAUCAGAACUAGUGAAGAAAAAAAGCCAAAAUCUAAGGAACAAAAGAAAAGAUAGACAAAAAGAUAUUCAGAAAUCUAACGACACUUGUUCUUGGGAAUGAAGAAACAAUAACGUUAUGUUUCAUUAUUUGGCAAUAAACGUUCUAAAUGACUACUUACCAGCUAGGGUCUUUUUUGUUAUUUUGUUAAGGUCACUGUCUUAAAAAUAAUUUAGGAACAACUAAAUGUUCUUCUUGCAAAAUUAGUUUUAGACUAAACUAGUUAGUAUAUAAACCCUAUGCGAUAUGAGGAGACGAAGCGUUUCACAUUCCUCUACAUCAUCUCUGUCUCUUCCUCUCUUCUCUUUCUCUCUACCUCACUCAGGGAGGUAAGUAGUUAAACUACUUCGAUAGUUCUACCCUUUUUUUUAUUCUCUUGACUAUGUUCGUAUAUUCACAGUGGAAUCUUAAUACUUAUAUUGGUUUGGUUUCUCUAUAUUGUUAUUUGAUUUUUGUUUUUUUUCUUCUGAAAGUCUUGGUGAGUAGGAGUCAUUAUCAAAAUCAAUGGGGAAGCAAGUUGAUAGUAAGACUAUUACUUGGGUGAUUGAAAAUUUCUCCUCUUUGCAAUCCGCAUCAAUUCACUCUGAUCAAUUCGUGGUUGGUGAUUGCAAAUGGUAAGAAAAUAAAUUGUUAUCUAAUGUUAUCCCUAGAAUAUGGGUUUAGCUGAUUAUUUUACUUUGGUUUUUGCUUGCAGGCGUCUUAAGGCCUAUCCCAAGGGAAAUGAAAAGGCGACUUAUUUGGCUUAUAGGGCUAAUAAUUUGGCUCUGUAUUUAAACGUUGCUAAUAGUAAAUCUUUCCCUAUUGGAUGGACAAGACACACUAAAUUUUCUCUUACUUUAGUAAAUCAAAAAUCAGAAAAACUCUCCAAACUAACAGGUUAUUGUUCUCUAUGCUUGCUCUAUUUUAUGGUUUAUGUUAUGUUGUAAACAUUUAUCUUAAAAGUUUUCUCUAACUUUAGUAAAUCAAUUUUCGGACCAACUCUCCCAACUAAACUGUUAUUGUUUUUGCUUCCUACUUAAUAGUUUAACUUAGUUUCAUGCUUCUGUGUAUGAACGUUAAUAUUAACUCCAUGGGAGGGCACCUUUAUGUCUUACUGAUGAAAUGACUACUUUUUUGUGAUUUUGCAGAAUCACAACACUGGUUUGAUCAUAAGUCUACUAGCCGGGGGUUUCCAGCUAUGAUUCCUCUCACUAAUCUGCAUACUAAUGAGGGAUUUCUGGUGAAUGGAGAACUCACCCUUGUUGCCAAGGUAGAGGUUCUUGAAGUUGUAGGAAAAUUAGAUGUAUCAAAGAAAUCUUCACCAGUAAUGGAAACCAUAGAUGUCAAUGGGUUUCAAGUUCUUCCUCAAGUAAGAAAUUAUAUAAAUAAUUAUACCACACUUGUUGUUAUGUAGUGGAAAUUCUAGGUAUUCUGUUUUGAAACAAGUAUAAGAAAAAUACUUUUAAAUAUAAAGAAUAUGAAGAAAACAAAUCGUUAGUCUAUUAGUAUAUAGUCCAGUUUCUUCAAAUAUAUACUAGGUUUAGAUAUGAUGUGGUUUUACUUUAUGCAUCCUUUCCACUCGCAGAUAGAAUCGGUGAAUCGUUUGUUUGCAAAACACCUAGAUAUUGCAUCCAAAUUUCGUCCAAAGAAACCAUAUAUGAAGACGGCGUACAUGAAUGUUCUCCUAAGCUUAACCAAGACGCUGUGCCAAUCGCCUCAAGAUCUCUCCAAUGAUGAUAUAUCUGGUGCAGGCGCUGCACUGACAUAUUUGAGAGAAGCAGGGUUUAAGUUGGAUUGGUUGGAGAAGAAACAUGGUGAGAUAAAGGAAAAGAAGAAGAAGGAAGAGGCUUCUUUGAAACGGCUGCAAGAAAUGGAGAAACAGAUCUUUAACGAAGCUCAGAUAUAUAAGGAGAAGGUGUUGGCAGCUAGAGCUCCUCUCUCUUUGAACGAAGACAAUGUUUUCUGAUGACUUACGAGUUCUAGGGCACUUGGAUUUAGGUUCUGUUAGUUUUUCUUCUUUGUCAGCUUGCGUCUUGUUUUCUAAAUGAGAACUCUCUUUAUUUGGAAACGUUUUGUAGUUGAGCGCUCUCUAUGUAGCUUAACUUUGAGGCUAUGCCUAUUUCAUUGGUCGUAUCAUUUUUUUCGUAAGCUGCCACUAUUUCACCGUUUCUUUAAUUGCACUAUAUAUGUUCCUUGACGACAAAGUAAUGUGUUUUGUGUCUAAACAAACAAGCUGUGACACAUGAAGAGUCACGGUAAUAUAGUGUCGACGUUGAAACCAAUAAUAUUAUUGCAAUCUCACCAAAUGCUUUCAUUCAAUCUACUAAGUAUCUACAACCCAUCUCUAUUUUUAUCUAUAUAUUUUAUUUGUACCUCUAUUUCAUUCCAACUCAUCGAGAGACAACCAUUAGAGAUAGUCUUAUUUCUUGAGGCCUCUUAAGAUAUCCAACUCAGCAUUCUCAAAAAUACUCUCCCUAAUGGACACGUCAUCCACUAGUUUCUCAGAAUAAAACGAUGCCAAGAUAAGCAUUAAAAAUACACCUUAACAGUUAUAAUGGACCAACUACUAAUAAAACCCCUUGGCCCAAAAGAAGUAUAGAUCGAAGAGCUAUUGGAGAGAGAGGAGCAUGACCAAUCUUUAGAUUUUGGUGGCCCUAAAGCAUAGUUAAAUAAUGUGAACUUUUAUAAAAACAUAAGCCUAAAAAAUUGUCAUUACAUAUUGUACCUUCAAUUCAGUUUUGUUUGGAAGAGUGAAAAAUAUUGUAAUACCUAUGUUUUGGCUGCCUUAUCAGCGGGCUGGAGAGAGGAGCCACGAGUCUUUGUAUCUGUAAGUGUAUGUGAAAGAAAAGAAAAAUGAAGUUGAAGAUAAGAAGAAGAUUUCACGUAAAUAAUUAGUUUUAGAAAGUUGGAUAUGAGGAAGUAAUCUUAUUUACUAUUUAGUUUUAGGAAUUAAUUUAAGUUUCCUUUUAUUAUUUAAAGAGAUUAGGAAUUGCUUUUCUCAAUUAUGUUAAACUAUGUAAUCUCUCUAAAGAGCUAACAAAUCAAUGUGGAGGUUAGAUCGAAGCUUUGGUCGUGACAAUGUCGAAGAUAUCAGAGAGUAAAUCAACACUUUCUCAUCAUGGUACUGCAUAUGAUGAGGAUUUGGACAAUGAUGAAAUCGUGAACAUAAAAGGCUUUUGGAUUUUCCGAUCAAAGGUAAGUAAUAUAUCAAUCAAUUCUGAUUAUAUGUAAUCUCUAAUGAAAAUAAUAUAUGGUUUCGAUUACUUUUGUUUAUAGUUAGGUCUAGCGAAACGAGUCUUUGAGAAACAUCCAGAGACGACAACAAAAUUUUGUCUAAAGAGUGAAUUUGCCAAGGAAACUUACUUGACUGCCCUACUAGACCUCAUUGACAUGAUAAACAUGUUACCUCAGCAAUCUCUCUUCGAAGCCGAACUAAAAGAAGCAGAAAACACAAUUUUGGACCUUGAAGCUGCCGGUUUCAAGUUGGAUUGGUUGAAAAGGAAGCUUGAGGAGAUUCGUGUUACUAAGAAGAAAGCGAAGAACCGCACGACUCGGAUGAGAGAACUAGACCGAAAGAUUCAGAAGCAUUUGGAGGAGUUGUCGGUCCUUCAAGAAGAAAUGAAGAAGGAGCAGUUUGAGGCUAUGUGUGACAAACCUGAAUAUUAUUUAGACUCACUUUGUUUGAAUGAAGUCACAUGUGACUCUAGUGAACCAAUUACCAAAUAAAUUUGUACACACAAAGGCAAAGAGUUUAUUGCUUUUACGCCUCACUUGUUUCAGAAGAUUCCAUUAGGUUAAAAGGGUUUUUGUAUUUCUCUCGGCUUCUAUAAAGAGAGGGCUUACAUAUAUACAAGUAUCAAAGAAGUUUCUGAAAUCCAGUUGUAUUGUCUUAGCUUUAUAUAAAUUUUCUUUUUCUAUUGUCGAUCUUGUAUCUUGAUAAAAGAGGUAAAAGACUUACAAAUUUUUGAUUACUUUGGCGAUGAGGCGCAAUUUCUCUGAAUAGAAAACUACUAGGACCGUGGAAUAACUUUGGCGAUGAGGUGCAAUUUUUCUGUUUAGUGAAUUUUUAUUUGCAUUGGGUUUGAUUGUCACCCGUGGAAUGACGUUAUAUAUCGUGAACAAAUGAAUUUUGUUAAUAAAAGCCUUUUUUUGCUGCAUAAUGCAUAAUUGCAAGAUUUGCGUUUUUGCUUAAAAUGUAGAAGUAAAUAAUUUAUCAACCAAAUAAGUGGGGUUUUAAAUUUUAUAAGAAAUAAUUAUACAUAGGUACUAAUGAAAAAAUAAAGAUAUUAGUUUCUGACGAUGCAAGAUAUAGUUAUGUCAUUUUUAACUCUGAAUACACUAUGUUAUAACUUUCUAAAAUCAUAUAUAUGAAAGUUGGUCAACUCUCUUCAAAUGAUUGACACAUCAUCACACAAGAAUAUGACAUGUGUCAUUCUACUUUAAUUAAAUAAAAAAAAUUAACAUAAUUAAUUGAGAAAAAAUCAAAAGUCUUUUGUUGUGUUAAAUAUUUCAUUAAUCUCACUUUUAAAUAAAUUUUCUAAAGAUUUUAAUAUGUAUUAAGCACUACUUUCAUUGUAUUCUAUUUAUUUUAUUAAAUUCUUUUUAUCAAUAGUCAUUACUCCAUACUGGCUAAUAAUUUACUUGUGGUAUAGAUUUACAUGAUGUGUUGUAGUUUAGAUGUUUUCUACCUGACCUCAUAUUAAUUUAAUAAUUUUACUUGGAUAUUUUCUUAUUAAUAUGUUUUGUGAAUAUGAUUUAUCAUACGAUAUUCUUUCUUUUCAUUUUUAUGCGUUCUGAUAACUUGAUAACAUUGAUCUACAAUUUUUUCACGUAAUGGUCCUUCGGGACGUUAAACAUACCAAAAAAAAGAAGAAAAAACAUGAAACUCUAUAUGGCUAUAGGCGGAGGAAGAUAUCUAAAGUGUUGACUUAAAUUAUUAGCAUAUUAGGAUUUGAUUGGUGUACUAGAUGACGAAAGAAUAUAUAAAAUAAAGAAUUAUUUGUUACAAUUAAGUUAGGCAAAUUUCAAACAACAUAAGUAACAUAACUACAUACAUUGUAUCAAUAUAUCAUAUACUGUUGUAUGUGUUUAUGAUAGUGAAAAAUUAGGAUAAUAGGUAUAUAAAUAUUUAUAUUAUAGUAAAAUUGAUAUUUCAAAUUAUAGAUGAAUUUAAUCAUAAAAAUUAUAAUUAUAUAAAAUAGAUAUGAAUUUAUUAAUUACACAAUAAUAAACAUAAAAUGAAUAAAAACCAUAAUCAUAUUUUUCGAUAAUUUUAAAAACAAAAACUCAUGCGUAGCAUGGGUGUUCAUCUAAUCAUAUAUAUGAAAGUUGGCCAACUCUCUGCAUAUGAGUGACACAUCAUCACACCAGUGAACGCUACAUGUCAUUCUAAAUUAAUAUUAUUAAAAAAGAAUAAAAGCUAAUGAUAAAAAAUUAAAAGUUUCACAUUGCAUUGAAUCAUCCAUUAAUAAUCCCACUCUUAACUAAAUAUCUUCAUUUAAAAGAAAAAAUACAAAAAAUCAUUUUAAUGUAUGAAACACUACUUUCAUUUUAUUUUUCUUAUUUUGCUAUUUUUAAUAGUCAUUUGAUAACGACUAAAAAUUUUCGUGUAUUGCAACUUAACUGUUUGCUACUUAACAUUUAAAAACAAAACAAAACCACAAUUAAAACUUAUGGCAUAUUUCUUUAUAAAUAGUAAGCCAAAGUCUUAAUUAAAAAUUAUAUUCUACCUCUCACAUAUAUAUAUAUAUAUAUAUAUAUAUAUAGAUAUAAAAGAUAUUUUUUUAUACUUUAAAUGACUUGUAAGUUUGAAACAAAUAGUUGGAGGUGGUGCUUGAACAGGAAGAAGUGUUGUGGUUUCAGAAAUCUAGAAAAACGUGGAUAGCUUUGGGGGAUAGAAACACAACUUAUUUUCACACUUCUACUAUUAUUAGAAGACGAAAAAACCGCAUUGAAGCUUUGAAGGAUCAUGAGGGUAGAUGGGUGGUGAGUUCUCAUGAAUUGGAAAAGCUAGAUUUGGAUUACUAUAAGAGGCUAUACUCAAUGCAGGAUGUGGAACUUGUUGUGGAAUGCUUACCACCUGACGGGUUUGCGCUGUUGACGGGAGAAGAGUUGUGAGAUCUGUGUAAGCCUUUUUCGAAUGCUGAAGUGGAAAUGGCUAUAAGAAGCAUGGGUAAGUUUAAAGCACCUUGUCCUGACGGUUUCCAACCCGUCUUUUACCAACAAAAUUGGGAUGUUGUGGGAACAUCAGUGAAUCGUUUUGUUUUGGAUUUCUUCACGACGGGUAUCUUGCCAAAAGAAACAAAUGAUUCUCUGUUGGUGUUAAUUGCUAAGGUGGAAAAACCAGAGCUUAUUACACAAUUCCGUCCGAUAAGCCUUUGUAAUGUCUUGUUUAAGAUUAUUUCAAAGUCGAUGGUAAUGCGUAUGAAGAAAGUGAUACCAAAACUGAUUGGUCCGGCUCAGUCCAGCUUUAUUCCGGGUCAUUUGAGUACAGUACCUGCCCGAGCGUCGUAUCUUUUGUCUCGGUUAUAAACAUGUCUUUGAUGGCUAACCAAACAAUUAAAGAGUAUUCCAGGACACCUUGAGGAAACCAAAUUAAACUUGACCAUGAUACCUUCGAUGAGAUCAUGGAUGAUAUCCCAAGUGCACUUAGAAGAGAAUGAUAAUCGAGAAUAUAUAUGUAACAUAUACGAAUGAUAUAACAAGAAUAAAAUUCUCUCUCUUACCCGAUCGAACCCUCCAAAGCUUCAUUUGCUUUCGAUGAGUCUCACAAUAAUAGGAAAGGAAAUAAAACCCUAACCAAGUAAAUAGUUUCCAAAAUCAAUAAUAUAAAAAAAGAAAUGAUCCUAAUAGAAGAAUAUAUCCUUCUGCCUUCAUGUCAAAAUAUUCGUGAUGUGUAUUUGAUGUGUACUCCGUGAUCUAAAUUAGUUGCUUGGAGAUAUGGUUCUACUCAUAUCAUAGUCUCUAGCCAUAUUUAACAAGCACUAUCCUUGAUUGUCUGAAUGCUUUAUCAGGUUUACCUUUGUAUGCGUUUUCUUUUCUUUUUUCUUUUUUUUUGUUAGCACCGUUUAAUUUGUGUUAAUUGUAAAAAUCUAUAUGUUAAAUAGACCAUGCAACCUGUAUCGUAGAUCAUAAUACUUUAGCAUCGUUUGGACGAUAUUUUACGUGCAUCCAAUAUCUAGAGUUUGGCUGAAUUGUCAGCCAUAUACUAGUUGCAAUCUCAACAUUUCACCAUAAUUUUUUUUGUUUCUUAAAUAACUACAAAAAAAAGAAAAAUCUCGAUAAAAUUAUAUAUAUUUUUAGAUUUGUUUUUAAAAUUACAUCUCCAUGAACCGAUUAGUUAACCGAUAAUAUGAAAAACAUUCAUUUGACGUUUUAUAGUGAAUUAGUUAAAAAAUAUAUAUGGUUUUAUAUAUUACGAGUGUGAUCGAUACGUAAGAAACAAUUCCUAGUAAUAUAUAUCUUUUUUUUGUCGGUUCCUAAUAAUAUAUAUCAGAGACUAAUACUGGAGAAUUUCCUAGAAACCUUACAACUUUUUUUCUUGUAGAUAAUUGCGAAAUGAUGAUAAUUUAGCUUUUUGACAUGGACAGGUACGUGUCAUAUCUCUCUCAAAUCACAUCAAAAUAAAAGUUCGUUCCAUAUUUCGUUAAUUCGUUCCAUUUAAUUUUUAAGGAAACAUGAUUUUUUAAUGGAACAUGUUAUUCUAACGUGGUUAUGUGAACUUCUAAAUUCUAGGUUAUGACAUCCAUUUAUGUAAAAAAUUAGUAUAUUAUAUUUUUAAAAGAAUAAAUAUGUUACAAAAAAUAAGAUUGCAAUUUUCAUAACAUUUAAAUGUAUGCCAAAAUUAUCCUAAAACUAGGUCACAACAUUUCUUUUUUACUUUUACUCCAAAAUUUUGUCAUCCCACCUAAUUAUUUAUUAUUUAGAUGGUAGUACAACCUUCUAGAUAAUCUUUACUCUUUACAAUCAACGUGAAAGGAAACGACAAAAAAAAUGACUCUUGUGUCAAAGAGAAAAGGAAGUAACCUUCCUUGGCCACGUCUGAAAAUGCGGAAAAAGGACUUUGGGUCGUGACAGUGAAACUUAGAGAUCUUGUCGACAACCAGAUCGCUUCACUUGAUUAGUGAUACUUUAUCAUCACUAUUUUAGUAUUUUUCGUGUAAUUUUAAAUUUCAUGCUCUCUCUUGGACUUGGUCCGCUAAUGAUUCCGAUUUUUAUACAGCUUAUCAAUCACUGUAGGAGUAUCAUUAAAAUUUAUGUAUUUUUGAUAAUUACGAAGUUAUCAUAUACCCAUUUGGACUCUAGCCUCUCUAUAUCAUAAAAUCAGUUAUGUGAAUUGUAGUGGCUAGUAGAAUAUGAGUUAGUAUAAGUGUAUUUGUUUGUUUUAUUAGUCACAAGUCGUUUGUCUUAUUCUCAAAUAGUAAUUUGUAUAGAUAUAUAGAUAGAUACAAUAAAGUAUCAAACUAGUAGAAAAUCGGUACCCAAUCUAAUUCAUUAGUAAUCAAUUCAUAUCUAACAAUAUUUUAUGUGUUAAUAUAUUGGCAACAACUUCAUCAAAUAUGUGGCAACGAUUACAUCAACGUCGUAAAAAACGUGGCAUCCACGUCAGUAGCCAUGAGAAAAGAUAUAUGGUUUCACACGAUUCAAUAAAUUUAGAUAUAAAGUUUAAAUUAUUGAAAUAUUGGAUAUAUAUUAGCAUAGAAAUGUUUGUAGUUAGAAUUAAAUACAGAUACUUUACUUUACUAUGAAAUGACCGAACUUUGUUCAAAUUUGCCAAAGGCAAACGCUAAGAAAUUCACUUUUGAGUAAAAUGCAAGUAGAAAGAUGGUACCUACAAGACUACACUCAGUGACUUGGAUACUGAUUAAAUAAAUUGCAUGGAUAGAUAUUUCGAUCGCGGUCGGCAUGAAUUAAGUAUCUAUAGCCAAGCAAUUUGUCAGUCAAAAGCUCCAUUAGAAAUUUAAUUAGAAUAUUUGUAUUCACGAUAGCCAAGCAAAAGUUUUGCACGCUCUAAAAUGAAAGUCCUAUAGUAGUUUCUACGCAUAACGCAUUGCUCUUUUUAUGCUAUACUUACUAUUGUUCAGUGCAUAUAGAUUUGUCUCUAUAUAUCCCUCUGUCGGCAGAGAUUUCAAAAAAGAUCCUUAACAAGUAUCAUUAGUGCACGCCUUAACUAUCCAAAUAGUAACAAACUUAAACAAUAGAAAAACUUGAAAAAAUGUAUCAAUUUUCAAAUUUGAUACGAAAAAACUUGAACUUUUAAAAUAUUAUUUAAAUCAUAAAGUUUUCUUUGAUAUUUUUUGUAAAAUAGUCAAAUUUUGUUGAAUUCACCAUUUCGAACAUAUCGCUAAAUUUUCAUAAAUAAAAUUAACUUUCGAUUAAGAGAAUAAAACAACGUCGUUUUAUCAACUACAAAACAUAGUCGUUUUGUUAAAAAAGCGUAGUGGACUGGAGUUGCCAUUCACGUUUAUUCAUAUCUAGUUACAAUGAAUCCAACAACGGACCAUAAGGGGCCCGACGCAACACGUAUAAUACUCUGAUACUUAUCUUCUUAAUUACUACUUAAUUUGUUUCUACUGUGAUAAAUUUCCUUUAACUUUACUUUUGAUAAAAUAUUGUCUUCUUUUUAUUCUACUACGGAGUAGUUUUUUGACUUUUCUCAUUUCCUAUUCUGUUCGUUUCUAUAAAUAGAGGGCAUGCAACGUAACAUAUUACUCAUCACUUACUUAACAUACUAAGAGAGUUAUUAGAACUUGCAAAAAAUGGCUUCCAAGGCUUUGAUUCUGUUAGGUCUCUUCUCAGUUCUUCUCGUCGUCUCCGAAGUGUCUGCCGCAAGGCAAUCGGGUACGUAAAAUAUUAUACAUUUCAGCCUGCUUACAAAAAACGAAGAUAUGUUCGUGAGGCUAGCUAUUCAAACUUGAACUAACGUACCAUUUGAUAAAUUUAUACAACUAUUUCGCCAGUUCCAUUUUAUGGACUUACAAUAUAGUAAAGUCAGAACACACUUCACUUGAGUGAUGUGGAAUCCUAGGAAGUUUUGUGUAAAUUAUGUUUCGAACGUAUAUUUAAAAACUAUAGUUUCGAGUUUAUAUAUGUACUUUAAAAAAAAAAUUGAGGUGGAAAACUAAAUUGAAGUCAGGAAGAGGGCUUCACAUUUUCACGUGCUUAAGAAUGUCUUUGAAAUAACGUGUUUUUUGGGCAGGCAUGGUGAAGCCAGAGAGUGAGGAAACUGUGCAACCUGAAGGUUAUGGCGGUGGCCACGGAGGACAUGGUGGUCACGGAGGGGGAGGAGGCCACGGACAUGGAGGACACAACGGAGGAGGGGGCCACGGACUUGACGGAUACGGAGGAGGUGGAGGACACUAUGGAGGAGGUGGAGGACACUACGGAGGAGGUGGAGGACACUACGGAGGAGGUGGAGGACACUACGGAGGAGGUGGAGGACACUACGGAGGAGGUGGUGGAGGACACGGAGGUGGAGGACACUACGGAGGUGGUGGAGGAGGAUACGGAGGUGGAGGAGGACACCACGGAGGAGGAGGCCACGGGCUAAACGAACCUGUUCAGACUAAGCCGGGUGUUUAAAACUAUAUAAUAUCUUCACUACCAUGCAUGAUUGCAUAUAUAUAUAUACG
rnacentral:lncRNA from 1 species